UAAAACUUAGACAACGGAUGUCUUGGCUACUUACACGAAGAAGGACGAAGCAUAGAUUGAAAUUGCGGCAGGAGUUGCAAACAUUGUGACUGUCCGGUCUUUGAAUGCACAUGCACCCAACCCAUCUUCCAAGGUGGUUAAGGGUACUUCAUUACCAGUAACACGAAUGAUAAAUAUCAUCACCUCUUCCUGAAAGAACAAUCUAUUGUUCAAUCAGGAAAGAGAAGACAAAAAUCAACAAAGGAAAGCUGUUCUGGUGGUGAAGGGAAUACCCGCUGAACUGAAGCAUCUCAAUAAGCGGAGGAAAAGAAACUAACAAGGAUUCUCAUAAUAAAGGCGAUUGAAGAGAGAAUAGUCCUACUCCAAUUCCUUUACGGGAACUGAGGAGAAACAUCUAAUAGCAGUCCAUAAGUGGGCAUUGAAUCUCCACGAAACAGAGUUUUAGUCUCGUUUAAGACAGCUAGUUUGACGUUUUAUAGAGUAGGGUAGCUUGAGAUUGCUGCCUGAAAAGGAGGCAUACCCCUUCUAAGACUAAAUAUUGUAAGUAGACCGAUAGAGGAUAAGUAGCGUGAGCGAAAGAUGCAAAGAACUCUAAAGAGGAGAGUGCAAAGCGCCUGAACUUGUCUAGGUUAAUCCAUCAACGAUGGGCCCGUCUUGAAACACGGAUCGAGGAGUUUAUCGUAUAUGCGAGGUUUCACAAAAAUCACAGAGAAAGCGACUGGUAAUACGGCUACAGAGUAUAUAUGAUAGAACCCGAAAGGAUGUGAACUAUUCCAGUGUAUGGUGAAGCCAGGGGAAACUCUGGUGGAAGCCAGUAGCAAUACUGAUGUGCAAAUCGUUUGUCAAACAUUGGUAUAGGUGCGAAAGACUCAUCGAACAUCCUAAUAGCUGGUUUCAUCCGAAGUUUCCCUUAGGAUAGCCGCGACAUUUCAAAAAAUAGAUAGGGUAGGUAGAGCACUGGGUAGAAGUGUAGGGGUGCUUCGGUGCCUCAACUUAUUUCCAAACUGCGAAUAAUCCUGUUUUCAGGUCUACCUAAUAGGAGAUCAGAAAGUGAUUAGUUGUCGUGAGUGGGCUUGUACCGGUAAGCGGUUCAGGCGAUCAGGGAUUAACCUUUAGUGAAGUUAAGGUUCCACAAGUACUAACAGUGAUACCAUUAAGAAGGUCUCUGUGUUGAGACAGCAGGUCGGUGUCCCUAAAAGUAGGCAUCCGUCAAAGAGUGUGUUAAUCCUCCCCUGCCGAAUACUCAGGCUUCGAAAAUGGAAGGGGCAUUUAGUACUACCGAUACUUCACUGAUGUCGGCAGAGACAUCAAGUAGGAUGACGUGGAUAUCUCAGCGAAGUGGAUAAGCGAUUAUUCAUUGAGAGGUAUCUAGUGCAGAUCUCGAUUGAAGUAGUGAUUAUCCAGGUUAGUCUCCUGGGGGCUGACGAGGGGUAAGGUUUCUGGACAACGGUGAACGUCUCAGAGUUAGUCGAAGCUAACCUCAAAGUUAUUGGGGGAAAGGGAAUACGGUUGAUAAUCCGUAACUAUUUCAGUUCAGUGGUAACACCAAAUAACUAUCUUAGGGGCGUUUACACAGUAAGUAGGAGUUUCUUUCCUACAUGACCAGAUUUUAUAUCACGGAAACAGGUCAACUGGAGAAGAGUAUAUAAAUCAAGGGCAAAAUCACUUUCGGGUGAAGCACUGGUGUUGGCGUCUCACGUUAAAGGAUAGUUGUGUGAACAGAAUACUCGUACCGAUAACCGCAUCAGGUCCCCAAGGUGAGUAGCCUAUGGCCAUAGGGGUGGUUUUCCUCAGGGAAUUCGGCCAAUUAGACCUGUAACAUCGGGAUAAAGGUUGGCUCUACAGGAAUGUAGAACCGAUAGUUACAAGGGAAGCCCAACUGUUUAAUAAAAACGCAACCUUGUGCGAUUCAUAUCAUCAAGAAAUGUACACAAGGCGAAUCCUGCUCAGUGCUGUGCCUGUUAAAGUGUUUCAACGCAAGAAAGCACCGGUAAAUAGCUAGGGUAACUAUGACUCUUAUUCAAAGUAGCGAAAUACCUCGUCACUUAAUUAGUGACGCGCAUGAACGGAGCUAUGAGGUUUCCACUGUCCCAAGGGAUAUCCCUACGAACCAACAGAAGUGGCAACGGGCACUUGAAAUCCAGCGGGGAAAGAAGACCCUGUAGAGCUUCACUGUGGUCUAAUUUUGUGUAGUUUCUAUAUGGGUGCAGCCUAGGUGGGAGGGCAACCGAGCUUGAGAAACCACUACCAUAAUAGGAAUUACGCUUAUCUAGAGGAGAUAGAGUUAGAUAGGCAGUUUGGCUGGGGCGGCACACAACCGAAAAGGCAGCGGUAGUGUCCUAAGGUAAGCACAUUGAGGACAGAAAUCUCAGGUUGAGUAUAAGGGCAAAAGCUUACAUUACUGUGCCACUUUGUUCAUGGAUCAGUACUGAAAGGUAGGCCUAACGAUCCCUAAAAAGUGCCAGGGUGUGGCAAUUGGGGUGACAGACAAGUUACCUCCGGGACAACUGGCUUGUGGCUGCUAAGAGAUCAAAUCGACGCAGCUUUUUGAUUCUUCGAUGUCGGCUCUUCCUAUCCUAAAGAAGCACAAAUUUUUAAGGGUUGGAUUGUUCACCCGUAUUAGGGAUCGUGAGCUGGGUUUAGACCGUCGUGAGCCAGGUUUGUUUUAUCCUACUGGAUUACCCAUCAAGAUAGUAGUUUGAUUAAGUACGAGAGGAACUGUUAAACUAUGCCUCUGGUUAGUGGUUAUGAGAAACCAUAUGCCACAUAGCUACGCAUUUAGGGAUAAUGGCUGAAGGCCUCUUAAGCCAGAACCCUAUCUAGAGAAAGAUGGACAUGUGGUUAUACUCCUAAAUAUACAUAUUUCUAGGAGGUUAUCCACAGGAAUAACCCAUCGCAGAAGACGAUGUGUCAACAGGGGUACUGUAAGUAUU
rnacentral:rRNA from 1 species